UGGGUGAUGGGGAAUCUUGAUCAUCGUGUUGCCACAAUUAAAAUCCAAUAAUUUACAAUAAAAAUAAGCAACCAUGUCCUUUGGUAAAGAAAGAAAGAAGAAUAAACCAUGUUUCUAGAAAAAUAUGGGUUAAAGCUAGCCGAACCAGAAUUUUUUUACGACCAACGACCAGAACAUUUUUACGGGUCAAGGCUGUUUAUUACUAAGAUUCAGAUUUGGCUGUUUGCAG
rnacentral:lncRNA from 1 species